GGCCACUGCUAUCGGGGUCCUACUAAGCCAUGCGAGUUAAGGGGCUCCCUUCGGGGAGCACCGGCGCACGGCUCAGUAACACGUGGCUAACCUACCCUCGGGUGGGGGAUAACCUCGGGAAACUGAGGCUAAUCCCCCAUAGGGGAGGAGGUCUGGAAUGAUCCCUCCCCGAAAGGCGUAAGCCGCCCGAGGAUGGGGCUGCGGCGGAUUAGGUAGUUGGUGGGGUAACGGCCCACCAAGCCUACGAUCCGUACGGGCCCUGAGAGGGGGAGCCCGGAGAUGGACACUGAGACACGGGUCCAGGCCCUACGGGGCGCAGCAGGCGCGAAACCUCCGCAAUGCGCGAAAGCGCGACGGGGGGACCCCGAGUGCCCACGCUCUGCGUGGGCUUUUCCGGAGUGUAAACAGCUCCGGGAAUAAGGGCUGGGCAAGUCCGGUGCCAGCAGCCGCGGUAAUACCGGCGGCCCAAGUGGUGGCCACUGUUAUUGGGCCUAAAGCGUCCGUAGCCGGCCCGGUAAGUCUCUGCUUAAAUCCUGCGGCUCAACCGCAGGGCUGGCAGAGAUACUGCCGGGCUUGGGACCGGGAGAGGCCGGGGGUACCCCAGGGGUAGCGGUGAAAUGCGUUGAUCCCUGGGGGACCACCUGUGGCGAAGGCGCCCGGCUGGAACGGGUCCGACGGUGAGGGACGAAGGCCAGGAGAGCGAACCGGAUUAGAUACCCGGGUAGUCCUGGCUGUAAAGGAUGCGGGCUAGGUGUCGGGCGAGCUUCGAGCUCGCCCGGUGCCGAAGGGAAGCCGUUAAGCCCGCCGCCUGGGGAGUACGGCCGCAAGGCUGAAACUUAAAGGAAUUGGCGGGGGAGCCCUCCAAGGGGUGGAGCGUGCGGUUU
rnacentral:rRNA from 1 species